rnacentral:snoRNA from 1 species
AACCUUUGAUGAGGGAAUGUCCUCAAUAAUCCUUAAAUCUCUCCCAUGCAUCAUAUAAUGUCUCCAAAUCAAUUUGGGAAAAAUAAGAGAUGUUGUUCCUCAACUU